rfam:Haemonchus placei strain MHpl1 genome assembly, scaffold: HPLM_scaffold0001828
GGCCCAAAUUUGAAGUAGUGUAGAUUAAAAGGAUCAUCUGACCCUACUAAACUACUCUACUUCGAGUUUGUGCCC